rnacentral:rRNA from 1 species
GUGAGGAAUCUUCCACAAUGGGCGAAAGCCUGAUGGAGCAACGCCGCGUGCAGGAUGAAGGCCUUCGGGUUGUAAACUGCUUUUAUAAGUGAGGAAUAUGACGGUAACUUAUGAAUAAGGAUCGGCUAACUACGUGCCAGCAGCCGCGGUCAUACGUAGGAUCCGAGCGUUAUCCGGAGUGACUGGGCGUAAAGAGUUGCGUAGGUGGUUUAUUAAGCGAGUAGUGAAAUCUGACGGCUCAACCGUUCAGGCUAUUGCUCGAACUGAUAAACUCGAGAAUGGUAGAGGUAACUGGAAUUUCUAGUGUAGGAGUGGAAUCCGUAGAGAUUAGAAGGAACACCAAUGGCGUAGGCAGGUUACUGGACCAUUUCUGACACUGAGGCACGAAAGCGUGGGGAGCGAACCGGAUUAGAUACCCUUGUAGUCC